rnacentral:tRNA from 1 species
AGCCCCGAGGUGUUUUACAUAUUAGAUUGCAAAUCUAAAGAAGCAAAUCGACGUUUGCCGGGGCUU